rnacentral:rRNA from 1 species
UAGGGAAUCUUCCGCAAUGGGCGAAAGCCUGACGGAGCAACGCCGCGUGAGUGAUGAAGGUCUUCGGAUCGUAAAACUCUGUUAUUAGGGAAGAACAAAUGUGUAAGUAACUAUGCACGUCUUGACGGUACCUAAUCAGAAGGCCACGGCUAACUACGUGCCAGCAGCCGCGGUAAUACGUAGGUGGCAAGCGUUAUCCGGAAUUAUUGGGCGUAAAGUGCGCGUAGGCGGUUUUUUAAGUCUGAUGUGAAAGCCCACGGCUCAACCGUGGAGGGUCAUUGGAAACUGGAAAACUUGAGUGCAGAAGAGGAAAGUGGAAUUCCAUGUGUAGCGGUGAAAUGCGCAGAGAUAUGGAGGAACACCAGUGGCGAAGGCGACUUUCUGGUCUGUAACUGACGCUGAUGUGCGAAAGCGUGGGGAUCAAACAGG